rnacentral:rRNA from 1 species
AAUGAACGCUGGCGGCGCGCCUAAUACAUGCAAGUCGAGCGAGAAGACGUAGCAAUACGUUUGUAAAGCGGCGAACGGGUGAGGAAUACAUGGGUAACCUACCCUCGAGUGGGGAAUAACUAGCCGAAAGGUUAGCUAAUACCGCGUACGCUUCUUGGACUUCGGUUCAGGGAGGAAAGCGAUACCGUGGGUAUCGCGCUCUUGGAUGGGCUCAUGUCCUAUCAGCUUGUUGGUGAGGAACGGCUCACCAAGGCUUCGACGGGUAGCUGGUCUGAGAGGACGAUCAGCCACACUGGCACUGCGACACGGGCCAGACUCCUACGGGAGGCAACAGUAAGGAAUAUUGCGCAAUGGGCGAAAGCCUGACGCAGCGACGCCGCGU